GAUGAACGCUAGCGGCAGGCCUAAUACAUGCAAGCCGAACGGCAAGACUUGUAGCAAUAUGAGUCCUAGAGUGGCGUAAGGGUGCGUAACACGUAUGCAAUCUGCCCGCAACAGGAGUAUAGCUCCCCGAAAGGGGAAUUAAUCCUCCAUAGUACCAUUGGGAGGCAUCUUUUGGUGGUUAAACUUUAAGGGGUUGCGGAUGAGCAUGCGCAUGAUUAGCUAGUUGGUAGGGUAACGGCCUACCAAGGCG
rnacentral:rRNA from 1 species